AACGAACGCUGGCGGCAUGCCUAACACAUGCAAGUCGAACGAGACCUUCGGGUCUAGUGGCGCACGGGUGCGUAACGCGUGGGAACCUGCCCUUAGGUUCGGAAUAACUCCCCGAAAGGGGUGCUAAUACCGGAUAAUGUCUUCGGACCAAAGAUUUAUCGCCUUUGGAUGGGCCCGCGUUGGAUUAGCUAGUUGGUAGGGUAAAAGCCUACCAAGGCGACGAUCCAUAGCUGGUCUGAGAGGAUGAUCAGCCACACUGGGACUGAGACACGGCCCAGACUCCGACGGGAGGCAGCAGGGGGGAAAAUUGGAAAAGGGGCGAAAGCCUGAUCCAGCAAGGCCGGGUGGGGGAUGAAGGCCUUAGGGUUGGAAAGCUCUUUUACCCGGGAUGAUAAUGACAGUACCGGGAGAAAAAGCCCCGGCUAACUCCGU
rnacentral:rRNA from 1 species